UCUAUGUUCUAUCGGCCAGUUCGACAUCAUGGGGCAGAGAAAGGCUUCUACAUCCCGGGCUGAAACCAAAAAUAUCCAUACAUAAUAGGCCGGGCAAAUCGCUGCGCCCCGAGCCAUGGCCCUGGUUGCCCAGGGUGUGGCUCCGCUCCUGCUUGAAUGAAUGCAAACAGAACUCCUGCCGUUCCAGAUACAAAAAUGUUCUUAAGUACUCACUCUCUUAAGAAAAUAGGUGACUAAGUUUUAUUUAAAAUAGGAGCUCUUUUACGGUGAUUGGCACGGAACUUUGGUUCCGUCUAAUUGAAUCUGGGUUCCGUCUAAUGUAUUUUUCGUAGCCGUUGAUUAAAUCGAUGUGUAACUUCUAUAAUACUUCAACAAUUCUAAACGGGCGUUUUAAAGGUCAACUCAUCAGAUCAUAAUCAGAAAAAAAGAACAAAAAGCUCAUCAAAUCGUCCUUCUUCUCACGAGCGCCCGCCAUGGCCGCCGCCCUCUCCUCAAUCGCGCCGUCAGCCGCCGUGGCCGCCCCCUCUCCUCCAUCGCAUCUCAUCGUGACCUUCUCCUACCUGAUUGGCCGCUGCCGCCAUCAUCCAGCCCGUCCUUGUCUCCCCGGGGAUCGAUGUGGCCUUCUUCUCCUACCUGACGAGCGCCACCCCCUCCUCACCAGUGAGAUCCCGGCCGCCGCCUAACCCGAGAUCCCGUCCGCUAGAACGCCGCGCUCUGCUCAACGGCGGGAUCAGAGCCGCCAGACUAAACAACGGGAUUCUCUUGAGCAGCAGGGACCUAUGUCCCCUCUUGGGUUCAAGGAGCAGGAGUGGUUCUCCGACAUCGACAUGUUCCACCACGACCAGGCACCCGCCGCCAAGAGGGUUAGAACCACAACAGAGGUCCCGGACCUCUUCAGCUCGCCGCAGCUGGCAAGGAACACUGGCUUCUACAAGACAGUCGGCGCCAGAUAAGAGCAAGCUGGUGCCAGGACAACAUCGUCCCAGCACCCUUAAUCCUCUAUGGUGGUGGACGUGUGCGACUCCCAGCACGGACGCAAGGACAACAUCGUAGAAACCUCCGCUGCCGUCUAGAAGGCGCUCGGCCACAGUUUACUUCUAGCAUCACUGCAUCUGUCACCCGCAGUUUGUAUUCCGUGAAAAAGUAUUUUCUUGUAUUAUGGCCUUAGUAAUGUGGACAACAAAAAAACAUGUGGACAAUUGGCCUUUGUGGUGGAAGAGAGGUACUGUGAAUUGCUCCUGCCA